GGUGAUGAUGCUAUUGUAUGGCAAGGAGACUCUGGAGUAUGAAGACAUGGUCUCGAUGCUGUGCUCCAAUGAACAGUGAGAAAAGAUGACCAAGGAUGGAGCUCCCCAGGAGGGCUUGGUCAUGGGGGAGUAGUCAGGAAGAGAAAAAGAAAGGGGCAAGUCAAGGGGAUGAUCAAAGUUUCGAAAGAGCAGAAGCAAGAAAGAGGUUUGAUGCUACAAGUGCAAUGAGAUCGAACACUUCAAGCGAGAUUGUCCGCAGUGGAAAAGCAAGAAGGGAGACAAGGGAGGA
rnacentral:lncRNA from 1 species